GAAUGCUGACAUAAGUAACGAUAAAGCGGGUGAAAAGCCCGCUCGCCGGAAGACCAAGGGUUCCUGUCCAACGUUAAUCGGGGCAGGGUGAGUCGACCCCUAAGGCGAGGCCGAAAGGCGUAGUCGAUGGGAAACGGGUUAAUAUUCCCGUACUUGGUGUUACUGCGAAGGGGGGACGGAGAAGGCUAUGUUGGCCGGGCGACGGUUGUCCCGGUUUAAGCGUGUAGGUGUGUGUUCCAGGUAAAUCCGGUUCACUUUAACACUGAGGCGUGACGACGAGGCACUACGGUGCUGAAGCAACAAAUGCCCUGCUUCCAGGAAAAGCCUCUAAGCAUCAGGUAACAUCAAAUCGUACCCCAAACCGACACAGGUGGUCAGGUAGAGAAUACCAAGGCGCUUGAGAGAACUCGGGUGAAGGAACUAGGCAAAAUGGUGCCGUAACUUCGGGAGAAGGCACGCUGACACGUAGGUGAAGUGAUUUACUCAUGGAGCUGAAGUCAGUCGAAGAUACCAGCUGGCUGCAACUGUUUAUUAAAAACACAGCACUGUGCAAACACGAAAGUGGACGUAUACGGUGUGACGCCUGCCCGGUGCCGGAAGGUUAAUUGAUGGGGUCAGCGCAAGCGAAGCUCCUGAUCGAAGCCCCGGUAAACGGCGGCCGUAACUAUAACGGUCCUAAGGUAGCGAAAUUCCUUGUCGGGUAAGUUCCGACCUGCACGAAUGGCGUAAUGAUGGCCAGGCUGUCUCCACCCGAGACUCAGUGAAAUUGAACUCGCUGUGAAGAUGCAGUGUACCCGCGGCAAGACGGAAAGACCCCGUGAACCUUUACUAUAGCUUGACACUGAACAUUGAGCCUUGAUGUGUAGGAUAGGUGGGAGGCUUUGAAGUGUGGACGCCAGUCUGCAUGGAGCCGACCUUGAAAUACCACCCUUUAAUGUUUGAUGUUCUAACGUGGACCCGUUACCCGGGUUGCGGACAGUGUCUGGUGGGUAGUUUGACUGGGGCGGUCUCCUCCUAAAGAGUAACGGAGGAGCACGAAGGUUGGCUAAUCCUGGUCGGACAUCAGGAGGUUAGUGCAAUGGCAUAAGCCAGCUUGACUGCGAGCGUGACGGCGCGAGCAGGUGCGAAAGCAGGUCAUAGUGAUCCGGUGGUUCUGAAUGGAAGGGCCAUCGCUCAACGGAUAAAAGGUACUCCGGGGAUAACAGGCUGAUACCGCCCAAGAGUUCAUAUCGACGGCGGUGUUUGGCACCUCGAUGUCGGCUCAUCACAUCCUGGGGCUGAAGUAGGUCCCAAGGGUAUGGCUGUUCGCCAUUUAAAGUGGUACGCGAGCUGGGUUUAGAACGUCGUGAGACAGUUCGGUCCCUAUCUGCCGUGGGCGCUGGAGAACUGAGGGGGGCUGCUCCUAGUACGAGAGGACCGGAGUGGACGCAUCACUGGUGUUCGGGUUGUCAUGCCAAUGGCACUGCCCGGUAGCUAAAUGCGGAAGAGAUAAGUGCUGAAAGCAUCUAAGCACGAAACUUGCCCCGAGAUGAGUUCUCCCUGAGACUUAGAGU
rnacentral:rRNA from 3 species